rnacentral:rRNA from 1 species
GCGGCGUGCCUAAUACAUGCAAGUCGAACGGUCUUUCUAUGGAAGCUUGCUUCCACUGAGAAGAUAGUGGCGAACGGGUGAGUAACACGUGGGUAACCUGCCCAUAAGAGGGGGAUAACAUCCGGAAACGGGUGCUAAUACCGCAUAGUUUUCUUGAUCGCAUGAUCGGGAAAGGAAAGACGGCCUUUGUGCUGUCGCUUAUGGAUGGACCCGCGGCGUAUUAGUUAGUUGGUGAGGUAACGGCUCACCAAGACGAUGAUACGUAGCCGACCUGAGAGGGUGAUCGGCCACAUUGGGACUGAGACACGGCCCAAACUCCUACGGGAGGCAGCAGUAGGGAAUCUUCCGCAAUGGACGAAAGUCUGACGGAGCAACGCCGCGUGAGUGAAGAAAAGGUUUUCGGAUCGUAAAACUCUGUUGUCAGAGAAGAACAAGUUGGAGAGUAACUGCUCCAGCCUUGACGGUAUCUGACCAGAAAGCCACGGCUAACUACGUGCCAGCCGCCGC